UGACGGUAGCUAAGGAGCAAGCCACGGCUAACUACGUGCCAGCAGCCGCGGUAAUACGUAGGUGGCAAGCGUUGUCCGGAAUUACUGGGUGUAAAGGGAGCGCAGGCGGGAGAUCAAGUCAGCUGUGAAAUCCAUGGGCUUAACCCAUGAACUGCAGUUGAAACUGUUCUUCUUGAGUGAAGUAGAGGUUGGCGGAAUUCCGAGUGUAGCGGUGAAAUGCGUAGAUAUUCGGAGGAACACCGGUGGCGAAGGCGGCCAACUGGGCUUUUACUGACGCUGAGGCUCGAAAGUGUGGGGAGCAAACAGGAUUAGAUACCCUG
rnacentral:rRNA from 1 species